rnacentral:rRNA from 1 species
GAACGCUAGCGGCGUGCUUAACACAUGCAAGUCGAGCGGUAAGGCCCUUCGGGGUACACGAGCGGCGAACGGGUGAGUAACACGUGGGUGAUCUACCAACCGUAUACGCUUGCACUUCGGGAUAAGCCUGGGAAACUGGGUCUAAUACCGGAUAUGACCUGAGGUUGCAUGACUUCGGGUGGAAAGAUUUAUCGGUGCGACGCGACGUAUUGCAGAUGGGCCCGCGGCCUAUCAGCUUGUUGGUGAGGUAACGGCUCACCAAGGCGACGACGGGUAGCCGACCUGAGAGGGUGACCGGCCACACUGGGACUGAGACACGGCCCAGACUCCUACGGGAGGCAGCAGUGGGGAAUAUUGCACAAUGGGCGCAAGCCUGAUGCAGCGACGCCGCGUGCGGGAUGACGGCCUUCGGGUUCGCAUUACUGUAAACCGCUUUUGACAGGGACGAAGCGCAAGUGACUGUACCUGUAGAAUAAGGACCGGCCAACUACGUGCCAGCAGCCGCGGUAAUACGUAGGGUCCGAGCGUUGUCCGGAAUUACUGGGCGUAAAGAGCUUGUAGGCGGUUCGUCGCGUCGUUUGUGAAAACUUGGGGCUCAACCUUAAGCUUGCAGGCGAUACGGGCGGCCGAGUAUACUAGAGUACUUCAGGGGAGACUGGAAUUCCUGGUGUAGCGGUGAAAUGCGCAGAUAUCAGGAGGAACACCGGUGGCGAAGGCGGGUCUCUGGGAAGUAACUGACGCUGAGAAGCGAAAGCAUGGGUAGCAAACAGGAUUAGAUACCCUGGUAGUCCAUGCCGUAAACGGUGGGUACUAGGUGUGGGGCUCCUUCCACGGAACGCGAUUAACUCCGUGCCGUAGCUAACGCAUUAAGUACCCCGCCUGGGGAGUACGGCCGCAAGGCUAAAACUCAAAGAAAUUGACGGGGGCCCGCACAAGCGGCGGAGCAUGUGGAUUAAUUCGAUGCAACGCGAAGAACCUUACCUGCGGAUAUCAGGUUUGACAUACACCGGAAACCUGCAGAGAUGUAGGCCCCCUUGUGGUCGGUGUACAGGUGGUGC